UACGGGGGGGGCAAGCGUUGUUCGGAAUUACUGGGCGUAAAGGGCUCGUAGGUGGCCAACUAAGUCAGACGUGAAAUCCCUCGGCUUAACCGGGGAACUGCGUCUGAUACUGGUUGGCUUGAGUGUGGGAGAGGGAUGCGGAAUUCCAGGUGUAGCGGUGAAAUGCGUAGAUAUCUGGAGGAACACCGGUGGCGAAGGCGGCAUCCUGGACCACGACUGACGCUGAGGAGCGAAAGCGUGGGGAGCGAACAGG
rnacentral:rRNA from 1 species